rnacentral:rRNA from 1 species
CCUGGCUCAGGAUGAACGCUGGCGGCGUGCCUAACACAUGCAAGUCGAACGAAGCACUUCUGAUCGGAGAUUCGUCGAAGAUUAGAUUUGACUUAGUGGCGGACGGGUGAGUAAUGUAUGAGCAACCUGCCUUUCAGAGGGGGACAACAGUUGGAAACGACUGCUAAUACCGCAUAAUGUAUUGAGACGGCAUCGUCAUGAUACCAAAGGAGCAAUCCGCUGAAAGAUGGGCUCAUAUCUGAUUAGUUAGUUGGCAGGGUAACGGCCUACCAAGACUGCGAUCAGUAGCCGGACUGAGAGGUUGAACGGCCACAUUGGGACUGAGAUACGGCCCAGACUCCUACGGGAGGCAGCAGUGGGGAAUAUUGGGCAAUGGGCGAAAGCCUCGACCCAGCAACGCCGCGUGAAGGAAGAAGGUCUUCGGAUUGUAAACUUCUUUUAUGAGGGACGAAGGACGUGACGGUACCUCAUGAAUAAGCCACGGCUAACUACGUGCCAGCCGCCGC